GACGAACGCUGGCGGCGUGCUUAACACAUGCAAGUCGAACGGAAAGGCCCUGCUUUUGUGGGGUGCUCGGUUGGCGCACGGGUGAGUAACACGUGAGUAACCUGCCCUUGACUUUGGGAUAACUUCAGGAAACUGGGGCUAAUACCGGAUAGGAGCUCCUGCUGCAUGGUGGGGGUUGGAAAGUUUCGGCGGUUGGGGAUGGACUCGCGGCUUAUCAGCUUGUUGGUGGGGUAGUGGCUUACCAAGGCUUUGACGGGUAGCCGGCCUGAGAGGGUGACCGGCCACAUUGGGACUGAGAUACGGCCCAGACUCCUACGGGAGGCAGAAGUGGGGAAUAUUGCACAAUGGGCGGAAGCCUGAUGCAGCAACGCCGCGUGCGGGAUGACGGCCUUCGGGUUGUAAACCGCUUUCGCCUGUGACGAAGCGUGAGUGACGGUAAUGGGUAAAGAAGCACCGGCUAACUACGUG
rnacentral:rRNA from 1 species